GCAGGGAUGGCGGAGUGGUUAACGCGUUAGACUGCUAAUCUAAACUCCGAAAGGAGGCGAGGGUUCGAAUCCCUCUUCCUGCG
rnacentral:tRNA from 1 species